CCUACGGGAGGCAGCAGUGAGGAAUAUUGGUCAAUGGACGAGAGUCUGAACCAGCCAAGUAGCGUGAAGGAUGACUGCCCUAUGGGUUGUAAACUUCUUUUAUAUGGGAAUAAAAUGUUCCACGUGUGUGAUUUUGUAUGUACCAUAUGAAUAAGGAUAGGCUAACUCCGUGCCAGCAGCCGCGUUAAUCCGGAGGAUCCGAGCGUUAUCCGGAUUUAUUGGUUUUAAAGGGAGCGUAGGUGGAUUGUUAAGUCAGUUGUGAAAGUUUGCGGCUCAACCGUAAAAUUGCAGUUGACACUGGCAGUCUUGAGUACAGUAGAGGUGGGCGGAAUUCGUGGUGUAGCGGUGAAAUGCUUAGAUAUCACGAAGAACUCCGAUUGCGAAGGCAGCUCACUGGACUGCAACUGACACUGAGGCUCGAAAGUGUGGGUAGCAAACAGGAUUAGAUACCCUUGUAGUC
rnacentral:rRNA from 1 species